GGGGCGGUAGCUCAGUGGUCAGAGCAGCCGACUCAUAAUCGGUCAUGCGUGGGUUCGAUCCCCACCCGCCCCACGA
rnacentral:tRNA from 1 species